UGGGAAAUUGAGAAGGUUCAGUGAACUCUUCACGAACUCAGCAAGAGGCACAGAAUGUCAUUACCCUAAGCGGUGUCUUCAUUCUACAUUUCAAAGUCAAAGAUGUUUGCCCGGCUAUGACAAAUAAGUGGCUGACAUCAUCGAAGCCAGGCCUAAUGAAUUUGCAAAGCAGCAAUUGACUAAUAAUGACAUACGAUUUAAAACUGUAAACGGAGACGCAGACCUGGAAUACGAUUCUUAUUCUGACGAAAAGCAUGGUGCCCAGAAGAACGGCGACAAACAUGACGAUAAAGAAAGCAAUCCCCCGGUUACUGCACAACCAAAACUUUCGAGAGGUAGUGGAAACAGCGGAGGCUUUGAUCCUGUUUCUUUGAAGGCUACAGAAAAAUGAGACUUAUCAGCCAAACAGAAUGCCUGAAGCCAGGAAAUCGGGGCUAACCUCUGACCUCCAGAAAUAUCCAUAUGGCUUUCAGUCAUAAAUAAAAUAUUGGUUCCGUUGGAAGCAACCAUGAGUUUUUUUUUACU